GCACUAUAACCUGGUUGAUCAGAUGCGUGUGGAGCUCAGGGUUAUUCACAUCCUGUGUGCAGAUGAGGAAGUGUGGCCCUGCCCUCCACAGAGAGUGUGAGUGAGUGUGUGAGUGUGAGUGUGUGUUCUGCGAGUUACUGUAAAACAGGGUGCAGUGUUUCAGGUCAUGAACAGGAAAGUCCGUCUCUAAAAUCUAAAAAAAAUAAAAUCAGACAGGUUUUAAAAACCAUGCUGCAAAGAAGAGCUUCAAAUGCCUCAGAUAAACCAAGGAGUAAGCCAAAGCGUUCCUCCAGCUUUGGAAGGUUCGACACAUCUAAACACUCUCCCCAAACCAAGGCUGAAGAACAUGAAGGAACCCUGGUAAGAGUUCACCAAUAUAAACCCAGCCAGUCACUGAAUUAAUAGAGAUGAUAUGCUGUGACCUGAUUCUGUA
rnacentral:lncRNA from 1 species